rnacentral:rRNA from 1 species
CCUACGGGUGGCAGCAGUGAGGAAUAUUGGUCAAUGGACGUGAGCCUGAACCAGCCAAGUAGCGUGAAGGAUGACUGCCCUAUGGGUUGUAAACUUCUUUUAUAAGGGAAUAAAAUGUGGCACGUGUGCUUUUUUGCAUGUACUUUAUGAAUAAGGAUCGGCUAACUCCGUGCCAGCAGCCGCGGUAAUACGGAGGAUCCGAGCGUUAUCCGGAUUUAUUGGGUUUAAAGGGAGCGUAGAUGGGUUGUUAAGUCAGUUGUGAAAGUUUGCGGCUCAACCGUAAAAUUGCAGUUGAUACUGGCAGUCUUGAGUACAGUAGAGGUGGGCGGAAUUCGUGGUGUAGCGGUGAAAUGCUUAGAUAUCACGAAGAACCCCGAUUGCGAAGGCAGCUUACUAGACUGUAACUGACACUGAGGCUCGAAAGUGUGGGUAUCAAACAGGAUUAGAUACCCCAGUAGUC